rnacentral:misc_RNA from 1 species
GAUGAAGAACGUAGCGAAAUGCGAUAAGUAAUGCGAAUUGCAGAAUUCCAGUGAGUCAUCGAAUCUUUGAACGCACAUUGCGCCCCCUGGUAUUCCGGGGGGCAUGCCUGUUCGAGCGUCAUUUCACCACUCAAGCCUCGCUUGGUAUUGGGCAACGCGGUCCGCCGCGUGCCUCAAAUCGUCCGGCUGGGUCUUCUGUCCCCUAAGCGUUGUGGAAACUAUUCGCUAAAGGGUGUUCGGGAGGCUACGCCGUAAAACAACCCCAUUUCUAAGGUUGACCUCGGAUCAGGUAGGGAUACCCGCUGAACUUAAGCAUAUCAAUAAGCGGAGGA